rnacentral:rRNA from 1 species
GACGAACGCUGGCGGCGUGCUUAACACAUGCAAGUCGAACGGAAAGGCCCUGCUUUUGUGGGGUGCUCGAGUGGCGAACGGGUGAGUAACACGUGAGUAACCUGCCCUUGACUUUGGGAUAACUUCAGGAAACUGGGGCUAAUACCGGAUAGGAGCUCCUGCCGCAUGGUGGGGGUUGGAAAGUUUCGGCGGUUGGGGAUGGACUCGCGGCUUAUCAGCUUGUUGGUGGGGUAGUGGCUUACCAAGGCUUUGACGGGUAGCCGGCCUGAGAGGGUGACCGGCCACAUUGGGACUGAGAUACGGCCCAGACUCCUACGGGAGGCAGCAGUGGGGAAUAUUGCACAAUGGGCGGAAGCCUGAUGCAGCAACGCCGCGUGCGGGAUGACGGCCUUCGGGUUGUAAACCGCUUUCGCCUGUGACGAAGCGUGAGUGACGGUAAUGGGUAAAGAAGCACCGGCUAACUACGUGCCAGCAGCCGCGGUGAUACGUAGGGUGCGAGCGUUGUCCGGAUUUAUUGGGCGUAAAGGGCUCGUAGGUGGUUGAUCGCGUCGGAAGUGUAAUCUUGGGGCUUAACCCUGAGCGUGCUUUCGAUACGGGUUGACUUGAGGAAGGUAGGGGAGAAUGGAAUUCCUGGUGGAGCGGUGGAAUGCGCAGAUAUCAGGAGGAACACCAGUGGCGAAGGCGGUUCUCUGGGCCUUUCCUGACGCUGAGGAGCGAAAGCGUGGGGAGCGAACAGGCUUAGAUACCCUGGUAGUCCACGCUGUAAACGGUGGGUACUAGGUGUGGGGUCCAUUCCACGGGUUCCGUGCCGUAGCUAACGCUUUAAGUACCCCGCCUGGGGAGUACGGCCGCAAGGCUAAAACUCAAAGGAAUUGACGGGGCCCCGCACAAGCGGCGGAGCAUGCGGAUUAAUUCGAUGCAACGCGUAGAACCUUACCUGGGUUUGACAUGGAUCGGGAGUGCUCAGAGAUGGGUGUGCCUCUUUUGGGGUCGGUUCACAGGUGGUGCAUGGCUGUCGUCAGCUCGUGUCGUGAGAUGUUGGGUUAAGUCCCGCAACGAGCGCAACCCUUGUUCACUGUUGCCAGCACGUUAUGGUGGGGACUCAGUGGAGACCGCCGGGGUCAACUCGGAGGAAGGUGGGGAUGACGUCAAGUCAUCAUGCCCCUUAUGUCCAGGGCUUCACGCAUGCUACAAUGGCUGGUACAGAGAGUGGCGAGCCUGUGAGGGUGAGCGAAUCUCGGAAAGCCGGUCUCAGUUCGGAUUGGGGUCUGCAACUCGACCUCAUGAAGUCGGAGUCGCUAGUAAUCGCAGAUCAGCAACGCUGCGGUGAAUACGUUCCCGGG